GAGUUUGAUCAUGGCUCAGAACGUACGCUGGCGGCACGCCUAACACAUGCAAGUCGAACGAAGUAGCAAUACUUAGUGGCAGACGGGUGAGUAACAUGUAGGUAUCUGCCCUUUGGCCUGGAAUAACACGAGGAAACUUGUGCUAAUACCGGAUAAGUCUUUACGGAGAAAGCUUUAUGCACCAUUGGAUGAGCCUGCACUUGAUUAGUUUGUUGGUGGGGUAAUGGCCUACCAAGACUGUGAUCAAUAGCUGAUUUGAGAGGAUGAUCAGCCACAUUGGGACUGAGACACGGCCCAAACUCCUACGGGAGGCAGCAGUGGGGAAUCUUGCACAAUGGAGGAAACUCUGAUGCAGCGAUGCCGCGUGAGUGAAGAAGGCCUUUGGGUUGUAAAGCUCUUUCGUCGGGGAAGAAAAUGACUGUACCCGAAUAAGAAGGUCCGGCUAACUUCGUGCCAGCAGCCGCGGUAAUACGAAGGGACCUAGCGUAGUUCGGAAUUACUGGGCUUAAAGAGUUCGUAGGUGGUUGAAAAAGUUAGUGGUGAAAUCCCAGAGCUUAACUCUGGAACUGCCAUUAAAACUUUUCAGCUAGAGUAUGAUAGAGGAAAGCAGAAUUUCUAGUGUAGAGGUGAAAUUCGUAGAUAUUAGAAAGAAUACCAAUUGCGAAGGCAGCUUUCUGGAUCAUUACUGACACUGAGGAACGAAAGCAUGGGUAGCGAAGAGGAUUAGAUACCCUCGUAGUCCAUGCCGUAAACGAUGUGUGUUAGACGUUGGAAAUUUAUUUUCAGUGUCGCAGGGAAACCGAUAAACACACCGCCUGGGGAGUACGACCGCAAGGUUAAAACUCAAAUGAAUUGACGGGGACCCGCACAAGUAGUGGAGCAUGUGGUUUAAUUCGAAGAUACGCGCAGAACCUUACCAACACUUGACAUGUUCGUCGCGACUCUAAGAGAUUAGAGUUUUCGAUUCGGCCGGACGAAACACAGGUGCUGCAUGGCUGUCGUCAGCUCGUGUCGUGAGAUGUUGGGUUAAGUCCCGCAACGAGCGCAACCCUCACUUUUAGUUGCCAUCAUUAAGCUGGGCACUCUGAAAGAACUGCCAGUGAUAAGCUGGAGGAAGGUGGGGAUGACGUCAAGUCCUCAUGGCCCUUACGUGUUGGGCUACACACGUGCUACAAUGGUAUCUACAACAGGAAGCAAAACUGCGAAGUUAAGCAAAUCCCUAAAAGAUACCUCAGUUCGGAUUGCACUCUGCAACUCGAGUGCAUGAAGCUGGAAUUACUAGUAAUCGUGGAUCAGCGUGCCACGGUGAAUGCGU
rnacentral:rRNA from 1 species